CAAAAUUUUCCCGAUCUUGUAGUUGUGCUCUUUUAUGGUCAAAUUUCAGUUGAAUCCACGACUGACAAUGCCAGUUAGUUGCAGUUUCUGUUUUGUCUUUUUAAACCUUCUUGUCGCCUGUGAAGCAUAAUCUCUUAUUCUUAUGGUGAUGUCUGACGAGGUGAUUCAGUUGGAUAUUGCACUCAACUCCUGAUUUUUUUUUUCAGCUUUUCUUUUGUAAAUGUUCAGUCCAGUGUCUUCCUUUUCUAGGCUCUUGAAACUUUUGUCAACUGCACUGUCCAGUCUCCACCUUUAUACUGAGGCCAGUGGGGCCGUGGAGGAACCACGAAUCUUGCUUAGGGGGUUCCCAAACUCGAGAGAAGAAUUUUCAAUCAUUAAUGUUAUUGCUAUUCUAUUAAGUUUUUACUACACAAUUUUUGGUUCAACUAAACUAUACCGAAACACAUAGUUAGGACAAACAAUCCAAUACAAUUUAUGGUUAUAUUUAACUUGAUUAGGGUCUUACAGAGAUUAAAACUUUGAGGGGUGUCACAUUUCACGUGGUCACGUGGACAAAGGUUCUUGUGUUUUUCCUGUCUCCUAUUUUAGACAAGGAAAAAGAUAUUUGGUUAAUUUUCUUCUUCUGAGAUAUAAUUACUCAGGCUUUACAUUAGAAAUGUUGAUCUCACAAGAAUUGCGUGUGUCCAGGUAAAGAAAGUUGCAUCACAUAUUCACAUGUUGUCAAACACAUCCAUUUAUAGACCAGUGUACACAUCACUAGCUUCCUUUUUUUCAUAACAUUGACCUAUGUGGAUGACUGCAUCCAUUUGUGUCUGAUUUUUCACAUUUAUCAUGGCCUCCUUUGGAAUAAGAUUUCUGUAGCUGCCAUGGCUGUUGAAUGUCUUGCUCCCCUUGUACCUUGUGUGGAUACUUGCAUCAAGGACUGCCUACGUUUUUGUUAUGAUACCCUUGUUUUUGUGGUAAGAGGAUUCGUAUACUGCUUAAAUGUACUGUGCUUUGGUAAUAAUCAUUGUGAAGAGAAAAUCUUAAUUGACCUCAUAAGAUGGUGUCCUUUGUUUUCGAGAGCAAUAUUGGUUUAAAUUUGGCAGUUAAAACUAAGGAAUCAGGAGAUGCACACCUUGCACCGUCGUUAUGCUUGGUUGUAGAGUUUCUCUCUCUAAUAUGAACCAUCACUGUGUUUACUUGGGUAGUGCAGUUUCUCCUAAGUUAAAUGGUUAAUCAAAACUCGAUAUUGAAACUGAA